AUCCAUCGAAAGCCUAAGGUUUCCAGGGGAAGGUUCGUCCGCCCUGGGUUAGUCGGGACCUAAGCCGAGGCCGAAAGGCGUAGGUGAUGGACAACAGGUUGAGAUUCCUGUACCACCAAUAAUCGCUUGAGAGAAGGAAUGACACAGUAGGAUAAGCUAACCACACUGUUGGUUAUGUGUGGCUAAGUACUGAGGCAGUCAAGGUAGGCAAAUCCGCCUUGAUAAUGCUGGGGUACGAUGGGGAGCGAAAUUAAGUAGCGAAGUAGCUGAUUUCACACUGUCGAGAAAAGUUUCUAUCGAGAUUAAAGGUGCCCGUACCGCAAACCGACACAGGUGGGUGAGGAGAGUAUCCUAAGGCCAGCGAGAGAACUGUUGUUAAGGAACUCGGCAAAAUGACCCCGUAACUUAGGGAGAAGGGGUGCCACGUUAGGGUUAACGCCCGAGGUGGCCGCAGAGAAUAGGCCCAAGCGACUGUUUACCAAAAACACAGGUUUCUGCUAAGUCGCAAGACGAUGUAUAGGAGCUGACGCCUGCCCGGUGCUGGAAGGUUAAGGGGAUCUGUUAGGAUUUAUCCGAAGCAGUGAACUUAAGCCCCAGUAAACGGCGGCCGUAACUAUAACGGUCCUAAGGUAGCGAAAUUCCUUGUCGGGUAAGUUCCGACCCGCACGAAAGGCGUAACGAUUUGGGCACUGUCUCAACAACAGACUCGGUGAAAUUGUAAUCCCGGUGAAGAUGCCGGGUACCUGCGACAGGACGGAAAGACCCCAUGGAGCUUUACUGUAGCUUGACAUUGAAUUUUGGUGCUACAUGUACAGGAUAGGUGGGAGGCUAUGAAGUCGGGACGCCAGUCUCGGCGGAGCCAUCCUUGGGAUACCACCCUUGUAGUACUGAGAUUCUAACCAGAUACCUUGAAUCAGGUAUUGGGACACUGUCAGGUGGGCAGUUUGACUGGGGCGGUCGCCUCCCAAAGAGUAACGGAGGCGCUCAAAGGUUCUCUCAGCACGGUCGGAAAUCGUGCGUAGAGUGUAAAGGCAGAAGAGAGCUUGAUUGCAAGACAUACAGGUCGAGCAAGGACGAAAGUCGGACUUAGUGAUCCGGUGGUUCCGCAUGGAAGGGCCAUCGCUCAACGGAUAAAAGCUACCCUGGGGAUAACAGGCUUAUCUCCCCCAAGAGUCCACAUCGACGGGGAGGUUUGGCACCUCGAUGUCGGCUCAU
rnacentral:rRNA from 1 species